UACGGAAGGCAGCAGUGGGGAAUAUUGCACAAUGGGCGAAAGCCUGAUGCAGCUAUGCCGCGUGUAUGAAGAAGGCCUUAGGGUUGUAAAGUACUUUCAUCGGGGAGGAAAAAACAAAACUAAUAAUUUUAUUUCUUGACGUUACCCGAAAAAGAAGCACCGGCUAACUCCGUGCCAGCAGCCGCGGUAAUACGGAGGGUGCUAGCGUUAAUCAGAAUUACUGGGCGUAAAGAGCACGUAGGUGGUUUUUUUAAGUCAGAUGUGAAAUCCCUGGGCUUAACCUAGGAACUGCAUUUUGAAACUGAAAUACUAGAGUAUCGUAGAGGGAGGUAGAAUUCUAGGUGUAGCGGUGAAAUGCGUAGAUAUCUGGAGGAAUACCUGUGGCGAAAGCGGCCUCCUAAACCGAAUACUGACACUGAGGUGCGAAAGCGUGGGGAGCAAACAGGGAUUAGAUACC
rnacentral:rRNA from 1 species